rnacentral:lncRNA from 1 species
AUGGAGAUGACCAUUCCUCUAAACCGGCGUAGUUGGAGGACUAGGCAGCCGAGCUGGACCAAAGUCACGAGGGUAGUGAAGGCCCGGUCCACCGUCCAAGAAAUGGCCAAUUUCUUUCAAAUGCUGUAUACUGGAAUCCAAAGGACUCAUCAGAUGAACACAUUUCAAAGAGCCACUACCAAUUUUUUUUUUCUUAAGCAAAGCAUCAAGCCUCUGAUUUGCCGCUGAUAAAUUCUCUAAAUAAGCGCUUGGAACAGAAAGGAGCUCUACCCAACUACCCGGAAUGCAGGCGGGCCUGGGACUAUGUGACUACCACCCUCUAAGUGAGGUUUGGAAAAUAAACACUUGAAAGUCUGCCCAGAUUGUUGUAAUCUUAUUAAUC